rnacentral:misc_RNA from 1 species
UGCUUGCUGAGAAGAAAAGAAAAAUGGAGCAAGAAGAAGCUGAGAGAAAUAUGCAAAUAUUGCUAGACUUCUUACUCUACUUACGGAAGCAAAAAGUUGAUGAAUUGAAUGAGGUACGGACUGAUCUCCAAUAUAUUAAGGAGGACAUAGACGCUGUUGAGAGACAUAGAAUUGAGUUAUACCGUGUUAGAGACAGGUAUUCUAUGAAAUUGUGGAUGCUUGGAGAUGAUCCCAAUGUAAGAAAACCAUGGCCUUCAACAUUAGAUAAGAAUAGUGGGGGUGCCAUCAGCAGUUCUUUUAGUGCGAGAG